rnacentral:rRNA from 1 species
AACCAAGAAAUUUAGUCAUUCUUUUAUGGUAAAAAGACAGUUAGGCAAAAUAAAUAAAAUCAUCAGAUCUCUAGUAAAGGAGUAAAAUCUAAAUACUAAGAGUUAUACCGAACAUGGUUUAUUUAAAAUGUUGAGUCUGUGACAGCUUUAAGGGAAACUGGGAUUGGAUACCCCAUUAUUUUUAGUUAUAAAUUUAGUUUAAGCUUACCGGAGUACUACGAAUAAAAAGUUUAAAACUCAAAGAGCUUGGCGGUGUUUUAGACCUCUCAGGGGAACCUGUCUCGUAAUCGACAAUCCACGUUAAACCUAACCUUUUAUAGUGAUACAGCCUGUAUACCGUCGUCGUCAGGUAACUUCUUAAAAUAUAGUAGUUAGCUUGAGAAUUUAAUUAAUUAAAACGUCAGAUCAAGGUGCAGCUAAUAAAGAGGUGAGGAUGGGUUACAAUUACAUAUUUGUAAAUACGGAAAAUACUUGAAAUGAAGUGUUUGGAAGGAGGACUUGAAAGUAAUUUUGAUUAUAUAAACACAAUGAAUAAGGCUCUGAAACGUGC